GCUAAUGAAGCGGGUGGCCAGAUCUCCGAAACUUUUAAUGCUUCCGGCCUCCAGGCUGUUGAACCAUGCCCUCGCUGGCCCCGAGAGCGUUGUUGGGAACACCUUGCACAUCAGAGCAUCUGACAGAGUUUGCAACUCCAUGAAGGUCUUAUAGUUCAUGACAUGCUCUCUCGGGUUACCAGCCCCAUUAUUGGCCGCCAUCGGCGGCAUCAUAAACUUUUUGGGAACGGUCUCCUGCUGCAUUAAUUUUGAGAAGGGAGAAGAAGUAGGCAAGGAGGUUUGACUCUGAUCUUUCUUACCUAGCUCGGCUAGGAGCUGCUCCUUCAACCUUUUCAGUUUUUGGUUCAUUUUCUCGUCUUCCGGGCUGGAUCUUUUGCCCAAACUACAUUCUUCCUCCUCUGUCUCAGUUCCCGUUUCCCUGGUUGUUUCGGCAGAAUGGUCGUUCACCUCUUCAUUUUCUAUCAAC
rnacentral:lncRNA from 1 species